rnacentral:lncRNA from 1 species
GAGGGACAGGGCCAGGGGCUAGGGAGGGGACACGAUUGGGGGUGACCUCGGUUAAGGGCCUGACUCCCCAACACCUCUCUUUCCAGAGCGGCUUCACAGCAGGACCACAGGAGUCAUUGUGGCCAACUUCGCUGGAGGCUUGGAGAUCUUUGGGGCCAUUAAGGCAGAGCUGCAGGGCCUAGAGAUUGAGAUGCUGGUGAACAAUGUGGCAUGCUGUAUGCGCAGGGACGCUUGAGGAAGCCGCUCGACUGUGAGAAUGUCGCCAGAGUGAAACAGAGUCCUAGCCCACCUGGCACCUCUUCCUCCAACUCUUUACUGCCCUCUGUUGGAAAACUCGCGUAAUAUACAAAGGAGUCUCUCUCUGUGGCCACCACUGCUCCAGGCCCAUGGCGGGUACUGCCUGGCUACUGCUGAUGUUCACUCAAGGCCCAGGCCCUCUUCAGUCAGUUUGUGUUUUGCAGGUAAUUUGGAACUCUGGGAAACAUCUCCAA